rfam:Camelus ferus unplaced genomic scaffold scaffold340, whole genome shotgun sequence.
GAGGAUAUAGCUCAAGUGGUAGAGCACAUGCUUAGCAUGCAUGAGGUCCUGGGUUCAAUCCCCAGUACCUCCU